rnacentral:lncRNA from 1 species
AUUUCUCAGGUCACCACAUGAACUGUGACAUAGUUUCUCAAAUGUUGCUAUAGCCUAUGAACAUUAUCAGCCUCAGAAAGCUCUUAUUUUGGCCCUGUAAAAGAGAUGAGAGAACUGGAAGCAAAACCUGGCUCAUUCAAAGCAAUCACUUAAGACCGAGGUCAGGAUUGGAAGCCUUUAAGGAAACAAGAAAGUGCAAUAGCUCUUCAGGAAAAAGAAAAAAGAACUGAAAGAGGGGCUUACGCUCCGCCUGCAUUAACAACACCAAACAACACUGAAGGCCCAUUUGCUUUCUGCGGUCCAUUGGCGAGGAGAAAACUGCCUGCUCACCGAUGCUGCAGCUGGUCUCACAAAGCAGCAGCCUGGAAGAGAAAACCCACUCACAAUUCAGUGCCUUCAGGUAGUUUUAGAGAACUAGUGAGACCCACACACCUAAAUUUGUCUCCAGCAUCAAGGUCUAAGAGAAAAAUCCCAGCAAAGUGCCCAGUGCAGUCCUGGAUUUUUCAAGGUAAAAGAGCCUUUCUGUCAGAUAUAUUUUUAACUGAUUUUUACCAUAAAACCUCAAAUAUUUUCUUUUUACUUUCAUUUUUUUUCCUGACACAAAAACAGCAUAGAAAAUAAGGAAGGAGUAAGCUUCCUACAUCUCUGCAACUGUUCUCAUCAUGACAGAAAUUGUUCUCGGUCGCCCAGGGUGGGAUUUAUGCAAUGUAAGAAAUUUUGGAGCUGUAUAACUGAUGAUUACUCAGGAAAGUACAGUUGCUCUUUCGGCUACUUUUUGGCACCAACAAUAAAGUAACUUCUAUAUUUUAAAAUUUUCA